rnacentral:sRNA from 1 species
CAUGAUUAUGUCACCAGCAUUACCCAAACACAUGCACUGACUAGAUAAGUGAAAGCAGUAAGUGCUACUUGUUGGGGUAGUGUUGCUGA